UGGAGUUUGAGCUACAGGAUGCAAAUUUCAGUUUGAAAAAGCUAGUCUUUGAUUUCUUGACUGACUGCGUGUAUUGGUUCCUGACUUCCCUGAACAGUUGCAUAUCGCGGGGACUAUUCGAUACUAGUGCAGUCCGCCACAGGAUGUUUUUGUGCUGGUCGAGGGCAGUCAGGUCUGGAGUGAACCAAGGGCUAUAUCUGUUCUUAGUUCUACAUUUUUUGAAAGGGGCAUGCAUAUUUAAGAUGGUGAGGAAAUUACUUUUAAAGAACGACCAGGAAUCUGUUUAAUUUCAUGAAUGCAACUUGUCCUUACCUAUUUUGUCUUCAACCUAGCCAAUACAGGCUCCACAGGAGGCUGGUGAGGGAAGAAUGGCUCAUAAUAACACAGGUUUGAUGUGUUUCUUACCAGUCAUUCCAUUCCAACAAUUACAACGAGCGUGUCUUCCCCAAUUAGGGUACCACCAACCACCUGUGAAAAGCUCACCUAUGGGGGUUGAAACGCCCAUACAGUCAGGUAAUAUAUUGGUGGCAUUGAUGUCUGUUUGCAUUUGACUCAUACAAGGCCACCAAGGUGAAAGGAAAAGUGUACUACUGCAGUGCCCUAGGGCAAUGGGAGAGAUGCUAGGACAACUAGGCUCCAUUAAAACCCCAUUGAUUUGAGGGAAAUAGCUCAUUAUGGAAUAAUGGCAGGUUCUAAAAGAAUGAUGUGAGUUGAAAUUGCAUAGUAUCUCAGCUAAUAAUCAUGUACACAGAAUGACCUCGGGUCCAAGUUGUACUACUGGAGCGCUUGAAUGUGGAGAGGCACUUAUUUUUCUUCCUUUGCCUCCUCCUCUUCCUCUCCCAGUUCAACUGCAUUCUCUGGGAUGGUCUCCAAGUUCAAAUCCAUGAUCAUGUUCAUACUACCAUGCUAACCACCAUCAAUGCCGUCGCCCUAUCCAACCACACCUUUAUCUACACCUAACAACACACUAAAUGAAUAGAUGCCAGUUGUGCACUGCAUGUCUUGUCAGACCCGGAGAGUGACAUGGUAACACAGGCGACAGGGACACUGAGCAGAGAUAAGAUAAACUUCCACAACUUUAAAACCUUAUUGAGAACAUCAGGCUUCCUUGGAACUCAUUCAUCCACAUUACAGAACAGGAACUUUCCCGGUUUAAGAUUCCGUACUCAGUAGACGCUAUCUUCUGUGGUUCUGUGCAGUGUCUGGGACAAGUCCUGCAAUAAAAGGCCUUUCCUGUUUCCAUUAUCACGUUAUAAAGUAAGUGUUGGAUUGUGUUGAGUGCUUCUAGAUAUAACAGUGAUUAAAUCUGUUAUGAGUGAGGGUAUUGUGAAAAGACUUGUUAUGAUCCCUUGAGCUCGGAUAAGUUUUAUACCUAGCAGAACAGGGUUAUAUAGUUCACAUGCAGGUUCAGAACCACGGACACAAAUGUGAUAACAUACACACAGGAAAAAGUAAGAUAAGUAUGCAAUAUCAAUUCAGUUUUAUUGAACAUUUAUUCAAUAAAAACUUUAAAACUGUCCCACUGGAAAUGAGCUCCCGUCCAACUCAUUUCGAUUCCAGGAUCUGUGGAGCAGAACCCUGUGACACGUACCAUAUGAACAUUCAUCCAAUUCAUUUCCUGUCUGCUUGACUGUAGAGUUGACAUGUAGACAUCGUGAAGACAUCGAGGCAUUGAUCCCCAGUUAUUAUAACCGAUUUCAAAUGGUGCUAGAAGGCUGUAAGGGGCUCUAAACACCAGAGGAAAUCAGUCAUCCUUUAAAGGGGAGAGAGAGAGGAUGGCUCCAGUAGACUGACACUACCAGAGGCACAGUGCUGUUCUCCUGUCCCCAAGAACACUGAUUUCAAAUGGUGCUAGACACUGGGAACAUUAAUCUAAACCACCAUGUGAAACCAGCCUCUGGGGGAAGACUUUCCCUGCCGGACAGUAGGGAUGCAGUGGAUGCACGGCAGCAGCAAAGAUUUUGGAGGAUACUUUGCUUAUUUAGAAACUCUGUGCAGCAGUUGUGACAUGGAUGACAAGUAAAUUUACAAAGACAGUCCACUCGUUUGGCUUAGCAUUUCUAUGCUUAACCUUACACAAACACAAUAAUUAUCAGUAUAAAGUGAUCUGUCAGUACAGAAUGUGAUCGUGACAGUACUUUGCUUUAGCAGGAAGUCAUUCUGAUGAAUGUCGUUGCCAUGGUAGCCCAGCUAUGAGGACAGCUGACGUGUGACAUCAUCCUCCACACUUUGG
rnacentral:lncRNA from 1 species